rnacentral:rRNA from 1 species
UACAGGGGGUGCAAGCGUUAUUCGGAAUUAUUGGGCGUAAAGCGCGCGUAGGCCGCGUGGUAAGUUUGGUGUGAAAGCCCUGAACCUAAUUCAGGAAGUGCAUUGAAUACUGCCACGCUGGAGUACUGGAGAGGAGAGUGGAAUUCCUGGUGUAGAGGUGAAAUUCGUAGAUAUCAGGAGGAACAACAGCAGCGAAGGCGGCUCUCUGGACAGUCACUGACGCUGAGGCGCGAAAGCUAGGGGAGCAAACAGG